UACAGAGGGUGCGAGCGUUAAUCGGAAUUACUGGGCGUAAAGCGCACGUAGUCGGCUUUGCAAGUCGGGUGUGAAAUCCCCGGGCUUAACCUGGGAACUGCAUUGGUGACUGGCAGGCUUUGAGUGUGGCAGAGGGAGGUAGAAUUCCACGUGUAGCAGUGAAAUGCGUAGAGAUGUGGAGGAAUACCGAUGGCGAAGGCAGCCUCCUGGGCCAACACUGACGCUCAUGCACGAAAGCGUGGGGAGCAAACAGG
rnacentral:rRNA from 1 species